rnacentral:rRNA from 1 species
GAUGAACGCUGGCGGCGUGCCUAAUACAUGCAAGUCGAGCGAACAGACGAGGAGCUUGCUCCUCUGACGUUAGCGGCGGACGGGUGAGUAACACGUGGAUAACCUACCUAUAAGACUGGGAUAACUUCGGGAAACCGGAGCUAAUACCGGAUAAUAUAUUGAACCGCAUGGUUCAAUAGUGAAAGACGGUUUUGCUGUCACUUAUAGAUGGAUCCGCGCCGCAUUAGCUAGUUGGUAAGGUAACGGCUUACCAAGGCAACGAUGCGUAGCCGACCUGAGAGGGUGAUCGGCCACCUUGGAACUGAGCCACGGUCCAGACUCCUACGGGAGGCAGCAGUAGGGAAUCUUCCGCAAUGGGCGAAAGCCUGACGGAGCAACGCCGCGUGAGUGAUGAAGGUCUUCGGAUCGUAAAACUCUGUUAUUAGGGAAGAACAAAUGUGUAAGUAACUAUGCACGUCUUGACGGUACCUAAUCAGAAAGCCACGGCUAACUACGUG